UGCCUAAUGCAUGCAAGUCGAGCGACGCAUGCCGGAGGGGUAACCCACUGGUAUGACGGAGCGGCGAACGGGUGAGUAACACGUGAGCAACCUGCCCCACAGACCGGAACAGCCCAGGAAACCUGGAUUAAUGCCGGAUGCCCUCAUCGGACCACAUGGCCUGAUGAGGAAAUGCCUUUGUGCUGUGGGAUGGGCUCGCGGCUUAUCAGCUAGUUGGUGGGGUAACGGCCUACCAAGGCGUCGACGAGUAGCUGGUCUGAGAGGACGAUCAGCCACACUGGGACUGAGAUACGGCCCAGACUCCUACGGGAGGCAGCAGCAGGGAAUCUUGCGCAAUGGGCGAAAGCCUGACGCAGCAACGCCGCGUGGGGGAUGACGGCCUUCGGGUUGUAAACCCCUUUCAGGAGGGAAGAAAUUGACGGUACCUCCAAAAGAAGCACCGGCCAACUACGUGCCAGCAGCCGCGGUAAUACGUAGGGUGCGAGCGUUAUCCGGAAUCAUUGGGCGUAAAGAGCUCGUAGGCGGUUCAGCAAGUCGGCUGUGAAAGUCCGAGGCUCAACCUCGGAACUGCAGUCGAUACUGCUGUGACUCGAGUCCGGU
rnacentral:rRNA from 1 species